rnacentral:lncRNA from 1 species
GUUUAUUCAUUACUGAUGAUAUUUACAUAAGCUGCACGGAGUGUCAUUGCCAGAAAAAUGGUUUGCUUACAUUGGGAAGAUGCUUACAUGUUAACAUAUACUGCAGAUAUCAAAGAAUGAGAAAAGUAAAAAGGUAAGCAACCAAACGUCACCUGUUUCAUUAUUAUGGCUGUUACAUUAGGUGCAGAGAUGGUGGACAGAGAUAAUCUUCCAAAUUGUAUGCUCACUAUUGCAUGGAAAACAUCCAAGUUGUUGAAGUUUGUAUUAUUAUUUUAGUAAAGAUAUGUUAGUGAAACAAAAAUUCAUGAGAGUUGCUAGGUCUAGCUUGCAUGCUGAGUUUCCAAUAGAUUCUUAUACUUGGUAUCUUCUUGAAAGUCAGCGACUCCAUCUCAUGGCAGAUAACUAGAGAUGAAUGGGUUUAAGAAUUCCAUAUGUAAGCAACAUCAGCUGCAGGAGCUGCAGGAAUCUAAAUAUAACCAGAUAGUAUAUAUUUCAAGGAUAUUUAAGCUAGAGAGGGGAAAAAAGCAUGUCAAAUAAACUUUGAUGAAUAUUUUAUAAAGUUAAAUAGGUAAUAUAGAUCUUAAAAGGGGAAGAAGAAUUCUUUAUCGACUGCUCCAGAGCAGAAGUGAUUCACAUGGCAGAGGGACCAUGUGAUCCAUGAGUCCAAUACAGCUCUGAUUAGACAGGUACGUAGUUGUGCUUGACUAAUUUGGCACUGUUUGAUUCAUAAUUCCAUAAGAUCGGCCCUUAAAUCAUAAAAGUUCAUUCAUUUAAAACAUUUCUUGAAAAUAACCUUUACUCAAUUAACCAACCAGGUUGAUGUGAUCAAGGAAAUAAUGGAGAUAUCAUGCAGCAAGUAUUUAAAAUGACAUGACUGUGAUAGAAAUAUACUUCAAUAGGAGUUUUUCCAGCUCUAAUAGUGCAGAAACAUGGAACUUGAAAAUUCAUAUAUUUCUUGAGACACAUUUUUUAGAGGAAAUAUUUCUUGGCACAUAGAUAUGUCAAAGUAAAGAUGUCUAGCAUAGAGAUUCUGAAAAAUCAGUCACAAAGAGUGGUUUACAAUCACCAGAUGUCAAGAACCUUGUUCUCUUCAUCUUCAUCAUAGUGGAUGAUGUUGACUAGUUAAAAAAUGGAAUGUGCUAGUUCAGGGACAUACUAUUGUCCAAAUUUCUAACACCUAGCCCAGUGAGGAUACUUAAGCAACAGAAAUCCUCCCUGGCCACAAAAUUCUUCUUCUUCUGUAAAUUCUUUUAAGAUCAAACCUAUAAUAAAAGAAACAAAAUUGCCUCCUUUUAGGUGCCUCAGCAACUGGAAGAAUACCAUCAACAAACGUCGCAGACAAAUGGAUAUGAUAGAGUGGUAUGCUGAAAGUAUCACAAAUAUGUUCAAGAUGCAAUAUUCCAGAUAUAAAAAUAAGAUUAAAUGAAAUAAAAAAAAACCCAACUCAGAUGCUUAUAAUGUUCACAGUGCUGAGAAAUGAUGGAGGCAGCAUUCAUUUUUGCAUUCUCACCAACUUUGUGUUCAGCAGACCAGCAAUACAGGGAAUUAACAUCCAGAAAUAAAAACAUUAAUACAGUCACAUAAGGAUUUAUGCUGUUUCUGGCAGCUGUCUGAAUCCAAAGCG